UAUGAACGCUGGCGGCGUGCUUAACACAUGCAAGUCGAACGAAGCAGCUUUCUUCGGAAAGGUGACUGAGUGGCGGACGGGUGAGUAACGCGUGGGUAACCUGCCCUAUACAGGGGGAUAACAGUUAGAAAUGACUGCUAAUACCGCAUAAGCGCACAGUGCUGCAUGGCACAGUGUGAAAAACUCCGGUGGUAUAGGAUGGACCCGCGUCUGAUUAGCUAGUUGGCAGGGUAACGGCCUACCAAGGCGACGAUCAGUAGCCGGCUUGAGAGAGUGGACGGCCACAUUGGGACUGAGACACGGCCCAG
rnacentral:rRNA from 1 species